rfam:Gymnopus luxurians FD-317 M1 unplaced genomic scaffold GYMLTscaffold_24, whole genome shotgun sequence.
GCCCGCUUAGCUCAGAGGUAGAGCUUUGUACUUAUGGGUUCCCACGGUCAUGCGACCGUAUUACCUAAGCAUAUGUGAUGCAAAGGUCGGCAGUUCGAUCCUGCCAGUGGGCA